AUUGAACGCUGGCGGCAGGCCUAACACAUGCAAGUCGAGCGGGGUUUUCGGACCUAGCGGCGGACGGGUGAGUAAUGCGUAGGAAGCUACCCGAUAGAGGGGGAUACCAGUUGGAAACGACUGUUAAUACCGCAUAAUGUCUACGGACCAAAGUGUGGGACCUUCGGGCCACAUGCUAUCGGAUGCGCCUACGUGGGAUUAGCUAGUUGGUGAGGUAAUGGCUCACCAAGGCGACGAUCUCUAGCUGGUUUGAGAGGAUGAUCAGCCACACUGGAACUGAUACACGGUCCAGACUCCUACGGGAGGCAGAAGUGGGGAAUAUUGGACAAUGGGCGCAAGCCUGAUCCAGCCAUGCCGCGUGUGUGAAGAAGGCCUUCGGGUUGUAAAGCACUUUCAGAGAGGAGGAAGAGUUGUGUGUUAAUAGUACACAGCUUUGACGUUACUCGCAGAAGAAGCACCGGCUAACUCUGUGCCAGCCGCCGCCGUAAGAC
rnacentral:rRNA from 1 species